rnacentral:rRNA from 1 species
UACGAAGGGGGCUAGCGUUGUUCGGAAUCACUGGGCGUAAAGCGCACGUAGGCGGAUGGUUAAGUCAGAGGUGAAAGCCUGGAGCUCAACUCCAGAACUGCCUUUGAUACUGGCCAUCUCGAGUCCGGAAGAGGUAAGUGGAACUGCGAGUGUAGAGGUGAAAUUCGUAGAUAUUCGCAAGAACACCAGUGGCGAAGGCGGCUUACUGGUCCGGUACUGAUGCUGAGGUGCGAAAGCGUGGGGAGCAAACAGG